GCCGCCGACUCUGCCGGUCUCCUCAUUAGGUCCAAGUGGGCACAAGUAACAACAGAUAGAUUGUCACGUCCCGCUAUCGCCAAUUUGGUUGAUCCGGGCCCGUACACAGACGCCGAACGAACAGAACCUCCUCUAUCCGCCCAAGGCUCAACAACAACGAGUACAUGUAUAAAGAAAUAAACAAUUCCUAGGAUAACAUUUCAAUAUACAUGGCUUGCACGAGGGCAAGCAACAAGCACAAGUGAUAGUAAGCUAGCUAUACUGAAAAUUCACCGUAAUUUAAAAAUUUUAAACUGAACUUUACAUAACUGAAUAACUGAAACAUUUAGUUAUUUACAACUUUAUAAUACAUUCAUUUACAUGUCUCUGUACAUCAAAAUGUCUCACAUGAACUCAAAAUGGUAUACCACUAAACACUGGUGUCUGCUAGCUAGGCUGCAGGGCUCUUGCCGCGAUCCUCGGCCACAAUGCUCGCACUGGAACCUGUAUGGUUAGUGGUGUGAGAACUACUAAAAGUUACCAGUGGGUUCGGCCGCCGACCUCGCCGACUCACCCACUAGGUCCAUUUAGGCAUACGCAGGCAAAAGAAGUAAACAGAUAGUAACCAACUAUAACAUGUAACUACUAUAAUGCCUGUACAAAGCUAAAGGAAGCAAUAUAUGAAAACUGUAAAUAUGCAUGCAUGCUUUUACUGAAUUUACCCAAUCUUUUGGUUAACCUUUUGGUUAACAAUAACUCUCACUGACACUAUCCCAAAUAUCGGGGAGACGCAAGCUACACCCGAUGGGACUGUCAACUGGGGGAGACGCACCUCCUGGUCCAGUUAAGAUGACUACUUCGGAGUUCAUCGUUCAAGGAGGAGCGACCUACCUUGAACCAAACGAAUGUGAGUAUGAUCUGAUCCUUCUUUAGAGGAUUCAACAAUAGACAAUGUCACACUUUGACUCCAACUAGCUCUUUAUGCUGGUUUCACAAUUCCAUUUCUCGAUGCUAACCAAAUCUCUAAUUAGAAUGUCACCAAGUUUACUAUUGUUAUAGUCCAUGCAUUCAUAGGGUUCUAUGUCACACAUUCUAAUUGUUCACAAUAUUCUCCAUGUUGAUAGCAUGUUGUAUAAUCAAUAUAUCAUUAUACAUAAACAUAUCAAUACCCCUACAAUGCAUGAUUACAAUGUAAAUAUGCUCAAUGAAUAUCAUAGACAUAAAAGGUGAUUCAAAGAUUCGGAUAGCCCACCCACCUGUAGUGGUGUCAACAACUAGAAUCCACGUCUCCGACAUGUGCCCAACAACAAUAUCAGCGACUCAAUGCAUUAAGACCGAAUUGGCUUCUACUCGUAAUUAGUACGUCGCCUGACAGACCUGUCGAAUGUCAAUUUAGACUUUCGACGCAAGUUUAACUUUCAUUUAUAAAGGAAUAAAAGAAUUAAAUAUAAGUUAUACUCCUAUUCUAACAAAACUUGCAUUUCACUUCAACAUACAUAUAUAUGUAUAGUGUUAAGGCCUCUAUAACAUAUAUCUUCUUAUUCCAUUCUUUUACGCAGCAGUUUUAUUUAUUCUAAGCAGAACUUCAACCUUACUUAAUUCGUUUCCAUUUCCAACACUAAGCAUAUAUAUCAUUCAUACGUAUAUACAUGUAACAUAUACAUUUAUAUGAGCAGCUUGUUCACAUUCCACCACUUAUAUUAUAUAGAACUUUCACAUUAAUUAUUUUCACCCAAACUAGUCACCUUGACAUCAAACAUAGAGCAUUCUCUAGAUUCAUACAGUCAAAUAGGCAUUAAGCAACUUAGAAAUUCUAAGUUAACAUUUUGCUCUAGGUUUCACAUGCACUUAGAGCUUAACAAUCAUAAUCUAUCAUUCAAACUCUCCUAAUUUAAAACACAAUAACAUUAAGUAGGAAAUAGAUCAACCUAUUUCAGUUUUUAUCUCUAUCAUAAUUCACCUAUAUAUAUACUAUACUACAUAUAGCUCUUUAUAUUUAAUCCAUGGUUAUAUUCAACUCCAUAAGCUAAAUUAUGCAUAAUUAACUUUUCUUAUAAUCAGCAAUUAGCAUCAUUCCCAUUUCAGGAAUUUGAGCUAAUUAUACUCCAAAUUUCAUUCUUAAUAAUGCUAGGCAUAUAAUAUAUAUAUAUAUAUAUAUAAUAUAUAUAUAUAUAAAUAUAUAUAUAUAUAUAUAAUAUAUAUAUAUAAGAGUAGGGCUAAAAUACUUUUACAAGUAAUCACCUAAGUGAUACUUGUGUGUUUCUAGCCCUUGGAUGGAGAGAUGGGAGGUUGAGAUGAUGGGGUGGUGGUUGUAGGUGGAUAUGUGUUUUGAUCCAAGGGCUAUUUGUAAUCAAAAAGUAGAUCCAAUGGCUAAAAAGGUGAUAGACUUGGGAUUGAUACUUGUAAAAGUAUCCUAUAUAUAUAUAAUGCUAUAUUUUUUUUUUAUAAUCUCUAGGCUUUCUACAUACUACUACGUUACAAGCCUUUAAUCAUAUAAAACCCUCUCAUAGGUAGUUAGAACAAACCUUAAUUAAGAUCUCAACCAACUUAAGUCUCGUUCAUAUUUCUAACCAAUAAUUCAUAUGCAUUCUUUCCAACAUAUAGCUUAUUAGAGAUUUGCUCAUGAUGAUAUAAGCUCUAAAAGCUAACUAUCCAUUUGUUCAACUCAUUCUAGAGUAGAUAACAUCACUCUAAUUAAGAAAUAUUCUAAUUCAUACCUCAAUUUCUUUCUUUCUAGCUGAAUCCCUGCUCACUAGCCUCUUCUCAGCUCACAAUACCCAAAUUCACUAAACUCUUCUUCAAAAACCAUUCUAGUGCUUUAGAGAAAGAGAGGAAGAAAAAGCUAAAAAGAAGAGGUGAGAAGAUAAGCUCCAAUACGUAUGAAGCUGCUGGGGUUGUUGGCUGUAGAUAAGACUAAGAAAAAAUGCAAUUAAGCCCCUCCACAAUGCUGCAAUUGCAGUUUUCACAAAACAAUCCUGCAGUUUACGAAACAGUCCCUGCAGUUUACAAAACAGUCCCUGCUGGCAGCCGCAGCCUUGGCAGCCCAUUUCUCACUUCUAGCUCGCUCCGAUUUCAUCCCAACACUUCCAAAACAUGCUAAUCUCUAUGCCCAAACUACCAAUUUAAUUUGGAAGCAUUUAAUUUUUAAUUUUGUAUUAAUUUGAUCAUUUUGAACAAAUCGACUAAAAAUUUCAGCUUUAGAGUAGCAAUAGCAAUUGGAGGUCUUUAGCCACUUCGAUUCCAUUCGUGUCUAUUCUCAUACUUCCAAAACAUGUCAAUUGCUGUUCUCAAGCUACUAAUUAAGUUUAGAAACACUUAAUUUCCAUUUUAGCAUCAUUGCGACCACUUUGAUCACAAUUAGCUCGAGAUAAAUUUUCAAUGCAUUACAUAGAUAGAUAGAUAUGUAUCUGGAAACUGUAAAUGCAAUAGUAGGAAAACUAUGCUACUAUGCCCAUAAUCAUGAAUAUGAAUGCAUGCAUCAUAUAAUAAAGGUUUGCUACUGUCACGCCCCGGGACCGGCGGAUGCCCUCCCUCUCGAAUAAAAGGCGUCUAGAAUAAAAGCGGAAG
rnacentral:lncRNA from 1 species